CUGCCUCUGGCUUGGCCUGCAG
rnacentral:miRNA from 1 species